UUGGGACACCUAGGUGCCCAAGCACCUUGCCUACAAACCGUUCGAUUACAUUGUGUUUCUCUCUUAUAUAUAUAUAUAUGUUUCUCUAUAUAUAUAUAUAUAUAUAUCAAACCUAUUGUGUUUCUCUCUAGAGGUGGCAAUCUAAGCCACAUGGUCUGUUUGGAAUCUGGUCCCCUUUCUUUCCCUCUAAACAUUUUUCUCAUUUUGUGUGUGUGAAAUUUAUUUCCUCAUUGAGAUAAAGCUGGACCACUUUUACAUAUGCUUGGACACUAGGCCCAGCAGGUAGGCCGCAUGCCUCCUGCACCGCGCCAGUCGUCGGGCCGCGAGCGAAGAGUUCCCAGCCCACGAAAGGUUCCAUGCGCAGGAAAGGUUCGUGCUUUUUUUUCCUCGCUGGUUUUUUGGUUCUUUGCAUAUCAGCCGUAGUCACCCGUGCAUGCAGCCCAGCCGUCCACACAUCUCACCCUUCUCCCCUGGGCCCCCGCGUCGUCCACCCCUGGCUACUUGAGGGGUGAAGACCUAGCAGCGCCACUUUCUCCUCCCCCUCCCUCCCCUGACCCACCGCCGCCGGAGGCGUCGGCCGACGAAGCUUGUCUGUCUCCGGGGAUGGAGACGGCGGGGCGUCUUUCUACCUGGCGGGAAGCGGCGGGGUUGCUUCUCCGACUAGCGCGUGUGGAGGUGGUGGCGGCGACGCAUGUUGCUCCGGCAUGGUGCCAUGCGGCGCACGGCCGUGCUCGAGGCCGUGGUGCACAACGCUGGUGUGAGCGCUGUUGGCCACUGGAUGGGGCGGAGGUCCCCCGCGUGGUCUGCUGGAUCUCGCGCCGGCGGGGCGGUUGCCGUGGUGGAGAGCAUGGGGCGCUGGCACGACUGUGCUAGGGGCUGUGGCAUGCUGCACUGGUGUGCGCGGGGUUGGUAGCUGACUUGGGCAGCGGCCUCCCGAGUGGCCUGCUGGUGCUAGUCUCCAUGUCAGGCAGGCGGGCUGCAGAUGUUUCCUCUCCUGUCGGUCCUCUUGAUGUGCUCCGGCCAGAUGCCGUGCUGGGGGUGUGGCUGUUAUUCCUCUUCCUUAUGCGGCAGCGCCGGCGAAAGGACGACGUGGUGCUGGACAGACUCCCUUCCCCUUCCUCCUCUGUGGAUAUUUCUUUCCUUUCUUCCUUACUGAUUUCAACAGUUUUCAUGGGUGUGCUUAUACUAAACAAAAUUAACAUUGUGGGUGUGCCGCUGGCUGUUGGUAUUGAUAAAAGAAACUGAUGCUCAUAUAUGUGCGGGGACAUAGUUUGUUGAGUAAGAUCAGCUAAUUCUUCCAACGCUGUCUACCUCAUAAAAGAAGUGGUGAGCUUUUCCUUCCCGUGUUAUAUCCUUCUAGGUCUUGCUCUUGCAGAUCCUUGCAAUUUUUUAUUUCUGUUUCAUGAGGGAAGAGAGAGAUUUCUUUGAUUCAGUGAAUUUAAGAGUAAGAAGGGGAAGAGAGGUUGAAAGGUUUUGGUAUUGAAUGCCUCCGUGGCCUUUCAGCAGGAGCAGUUCAUGCUUUUCUGUUUGUGUAGUUACUUUGAUAUUUCUUCUGAUUUAUUUGGCUUCAGAACAAGUUUUUUUUAGGGGAACGUUUCAGAACAACUUCCUUCCUACAUAUCUCUCACCAACAAGCUGAGAUUAUAUUUGCAGGCUAUAUGCAUGAGAAAUAAAAGAACAUGAUGUACCAAAGAACUUCACAGGCGAGAAAUGUGGUGAAUUUAUCAAAGCACCUUUUUUAUUCGUGGUGACAUCUAGCCAAUGAUGGGUGUGCAGCUGAAGGCCCUGUUGUUUUCUCUUGCUUUUUUUGAUUAUAUAUUUUGGUUUUGUACUCCUUUGAUCGACAAGUGGGAUGGUACGUUUGAUGGGUGUGCAGGUGAAGACCCUAUUGGAUUGGCUUGAUUAGGAAAUGUUGUUUGCCUUGCUGAAUUUUGUUCAGUUAGUCAAAGAACCAUGUACCUUGCCUUGCCGACAACGUAGUAUAAUUUGUGAAGUUUUUACCAAUGUAAAGAGCGACUCAGAGAGCACGUCGUGCUCAUGCUUAUCGCUUCUCCCGAUACCAUUUUGUUUCUCAACGUGAUAAUGUGUAGUGGACCAAGUACAUCGGGUACCCACAAUGAGUGGAAGUCAAAGUCUUAUCUCCCGGUGCGAGCAGUGGCCCUCCAACUUUCUAGUUUGCAGAAUUCCAGGCAGCCUCUGUUUGGCAACGGCAUCAUUGUAUGUGCGGGACGUAAACAGUGCAUGUGAGUAGAGAAAAGAAUAGAGUAAACCAUCAGCUGGCUCAGAUGGGAUGUACUCUGCCCCCAUUUGUGCAAUUAUAUAUAGCCAUCAGCUGUUCGGUUAUGUAAUGUACUACCUGAUGAAAUUGGCCAUUUGUGCAAUUAUAUAUAGCACACAACUUUCGGAAAGGCCCCACAUGUUUACCGUUUAUUACAGACACUUGCCUUUUAUUGUGCUGCCAAGACCAUUAUUAUUAGUAUGGUGGAUUAUUCAU